AAAAGAGUUAAACACAGGGACACAUUUGAAGUCUCGGAGCCGGGUGUUGGUUCCGGUAGCGAUCGAGGGAAAUUAGUACCGAAGUCCGGGAUGGAAGAUGGCGAGAAAAGCUGUGUGUAUUUCUGCGGUGCCCGUACCGCAAACCGACACAGGUAGGUAGGAAGAAGAUUCUAAGGCCAACGGGAGAAGGGUUGUUAAGGAACUCGGCAAAUUGACCCCGUAACUUCGGGAGAAGGGGUGCUCUAGAGAUAGAGCCGCAGAGAAUCGGCCCAAGCAACUGUUUACCAAAAACACAGGUUUGUGCUAAAUCGAAAGAUGACGUAUACGAGCUGACGCCUGCCCGGUGCUGGAAGGUUAAGAGGAGAUGUGCAAGCAUUGAAUCGAAGCCCCAGUGAACGGCGGCCGUAACAAUAACGGUCCUAAGGUAGCGAAAUUCCUUGUCAGGUAAGUUCUGACCCGCAUGAAAGGCGUAAUGAUUUGGGCACUGUCCCGACAGCCCGCCUGGCGAAAUUGUAGUACCGGUGAAGAUGCCGGUUACCCGCGACAAGACGGAAAGACCCCAUGGAGCUUUACUGUAGCCUAAUAUUGGGUUUCGAUGUUGCAUGCACAGGAUAGAUGGGACACUGGGAAGCAAGUGCUUUGGCAUUUGUGGAGUGGCCGUUGGGAUACCAUCCUUGCGAUAUUGGAAUUCUAACCUGCGCCUUUGAAUCAAGGCGGGGGACAUUGUUAGGUGGGCAGUUUGACUGGGGCGGUCGCCUCCUAAAGAGUAACGGAGGCGUUCAAAGGUUCGCUCAGCUUGAACGGAAAUCAAGCAAAAGAGUGCAAACGCAGAAGCGAGCCUAACUGCGAGACUGACGGGUCGAGCAGUAACGAAAGUUGGAGUUAGUGAUCCGGUGGUAUGUGAGUGGAAAUGCCAUCGCUCAACGGAUAAAAGUUACCCUGGGGAUAACAGGCUGAUCUCCCCCAAGAGUCCACAUCGACGGGGAGGUUUGGCACCUCGAUGUCGGCUCAUCGCAUCCUGGGGCUGUAUUCGGUCCCAAGGGUUUGGCUGUUCGCCAAUUAAAGCGGUACGCGAGCUGGGUUCAGAACGUCGUGAGACAGUUCGGUCCCUAUCUGUCGUGGGCGCAGGAUAUUUGAUGGGAGCUGUUCCUAGUACGAGAGGACCGGAGCGGACGUACCUCUGGCGCACCAGUUGUUCUGCCAAGGGCAUAGCUGGGCAACUAUGUACGGAUCGGAUAAACGCUGAAAGCAUCUAAGCGUGAAGCCGACCCAAAGAUAAGAUAUCCCAUUGUUUCAAACAAGUAAGACCCCUUGAAGACUACAAGGUUGAUAGGCAUGAUGUGUAAGUGGAGUGAUCCAUUCAGCAAGUAUGUACUAAUAGGUCGAGGGCUUGACC
rnacentral:rRNA from 1 species